rnacentral:rRNA from 1 species
UACGUAGGGCGCAAGCGUUGUCCGGAAUUAUUGGGCGUAAAGAGCUCGUAGGCGGCCAGUUGCGUCUGCUGUGAAAGCCCGGGGCUCAACCCCCGGACUUGCAGUGGGUACGGGGCAGACUAGAGUGUGGUAGGGGGAGACUGGAAUUCCUGGUGUAGCGGUGGAAUGCGCAGAUAUCAGGAGGAACACCGAUGGCGAAGGCAGGUCUCUGGGCCGAUACUGACGUGAGGAGCGAAAAGCGUGGGGGAGCGAACAGGAUUAGAAACCCCGGGGUA